AUUGAACGCUGGCGGCAGGCUUAACACAUGCAAGUCGAGCGGAGACUUCGGUCUUAGCGGCGAACGGGUGAGGAAUGCCUGGGAAUCUGCCUGUUAGUGGGGGAUAACGAAUCGAAAGGUUCGCUAAUACCGCAUACGUCCUACGGGAGAAAGCAGGGGACCUUCGGGCCUUGCGCUAACAGAUGAGCCCAGGUCGGAUUAGCUAGUAGGUGGGGUAAAGGCUCACCUAGGCGACGAUCCGUAGCUGGUCUGAGAGGAUGAUCAGCCACACUGGAACUGAGACACGGUCCAGACUCCUACGGGAGGCAGCAGUGGGGAAUAUUGGACAAUGGGCGAAAGCCUGAUCCAGCCAUGCCGCGUGUGUGAAGAAGGCCUUCGGGUUGUAAAGCACUUUAAGCGGGGAGGAAGGCCUUGGGAUUAAUACUCCUGAGGAUUGACGUUACCCGCAGAAUAAGCACCGGCUAACUCUGUG
rnacentral:rRNA from 1 species